rnacentral:rRNA from 1 species
CCGCGUGAAUGAUGAAGGCUCUAGGGUUGUAAAGUUCUUUCGCCGAUGAAGAUAAUGACGGUAGUCGGAGAAGAAGCCCCGGCUAACUUCGUGC